rnacentral:rRNA from 1 species
AAACCGUUCAGGGGUAAACCUAAGAAACCCAAAAGAUCGAAUGGGGAGAUUCAUCGUCGACGGCGCUGGCUACCGUUGGUGCGCGAUGCUCCGGGUGGACCCUUGCGGUUCCAUUAGCGUGUGGCACACCACCUUCGGAUCGAACGUUCCGGCGUCGUAGUCGUGCACUUCUCCCCUAGUAGGACGUCGCGACCCGUUGUGUGUCGGUCUACGGCCCGAGUGGGCGCCUGUCGCGUCGUUUCGGCGCACGCGGCAGACCCUCGGUCGCCCGGCCGGCUGCACGACGGUACACUCACGGUAUCGGGCCGCAACCAGUCCAUUCUCGAAUGUGUGUGCGUCCAACCCGCCGCAAGCUCGGUCAGUUCUUACCCGGAGGUACGGACCCUGUGCCGUCCCCGGGCCUGGCCAGCUGUUAGCAGGCGGUGUCCUCGGACUGGCCAAAUCUCAGAUUACCGGUCGGCGACGCUAUUGCUUUGGGUACUCUCAGGACCCGUCUUGAAACACGGACCAAGGAGUCUAACAUGUGCGCGAGUCAUUGGGAUGCAUAAACCUAAAGGCGAAAUGAAAGUGAAAGUCGGCCUUCGCGCCGAUCGAGGGAGGAUGGGCCGCGUAACCAUGCGGCCUCGCACUCCCGGGGCGUCUCGUUCUCAUUGCGAGAAGAGGCGCACCUAGAGCGUACACGUUGGGACCCGAAAGAUGGUGAACUAUGCCUGGUCAGGACGAAGUCAGGGGAAACCCUGAUGGAGGUCCGUAGCGAUUCUGACGUGCAAAUCGAUCGUCGGAACUGGGUAUAGGGGCGAAAGACUAAUCGAA